GCAGUGCCCUAUCCAGAAUGGAGUGAAUUACAUAGAAGAUGUGUGUAAUUGAGUCCUUUCUGGGUAGAGUAAGGCU
rfam:Otolemur garnettii contig090497, whole genome shotgun sequence.